GAAACAGAUAACGUACUAAAUGCCUUGGUUAAGUCUCACACUUGUUCAAGAAAAUUGACUAUUGAUAUGGGAUUAUUAGCUUAGUUGAGUUUUGGAGAUUGAAACAAUCAAGUUGUGGAGAAACUUGGUUUAUUGAUAUAUCGACUUGCAAUUAGUAAGAUUUACCUAAACUAAAGAAGCGAGGAGAGUAUAAAAAUUCAAUUUUAGGUCACACUCGAAAAGAGCGAAAAGAAUAAAUUUGGAGGUGUGUGAGUCUUAACGAGUGAUGAAAGCACAUAUUUGAUCAUUGAAGGUCAGGAAUUGAAACUACUUGUGAAUUCAUGAUGCUAUGCUUAAUUCUUCACACACACGUCAAUUUUACAUGGAAAAAGUAGAUUUUAAUUUGUAUAUUAUGAUUUUGAAGCAAUACAUAAAUUUGGCAGUAUGAUUUCAAUCCUGAAAUAAAAAGUCGG
rnacentral:lncRNA from 1 species